GAUAUCACGCAGAACCCCGAUUGCGAAGGCAGCAUACCGGUGCACAACUGACGCUCAGGCACGAAAGCGUGGGUAUCGAACAGGAUUAGAUACCCUGGUAGUCCACGCAGUAAACGAUGAAUGCUACCUGUUUGGCCUGAUUGAAGGCUGAGCGGGACAGCGAAAGCGUUAAGCAUUCCACCUGGGGAGUACGCCGGCAACGGUGAAACUCAAAGGAAUUGACGGGGGCCCGCACAAGCGGAGGAACAUGUGGUUUAAUUCGAUGAUACGCGAGGAACCUUACCCGGGCUCAAACGCAUAAUGACGACAGUUGAAAGAUUGUUUCCCUUCGGGGCAUUAUGCGAGGUGCUGCAUGGUUGUCGUCAGCUCGUGCCGUGAGGUGUCGGCUUAAGUGCCAUAACGAGCGCAACCCCUAUCGACAGUUGCUAACGAGUCGAGUCGAGGACUCUGUCGAGACUGCCGGCGCAAGCUGUGAGGAAGGCGGGGAUGACGUCAAAUCAGCACGGCCCUUACGUCCGGGGCGACACACGUGUUACAAUGGCAGGGACAGCGGGAAGCCACCAAGCGAUUGGGCGCGGAACCCGAAACCCUGUCUCAGUUCGGAUUGGAGUCUGCAACUCGACUCCAUGAAGCUGGAUUCGCUAGUAAUCGCGCAUCAGCCAUGGCGCGGUGAAUACGUUCCCGGGCCUUGCACACACCGCCCGUCAAG
rnacentral:rRNA from 1 species